GCAUUAAAAGAUUCCUUCCUUUUCCUUUCUAUUGCUUCCACUAGAAAUCCCUUUCUAGAGCAAACAAAUGGCUGAAGCACUCAUUUCCGUGCUCCUAGAACAGUUGGCCUCAAUCAUCCAAAAACAGGUAGAACAAGAGGUCACACUCAUUGUGGGUGUUGAGAAAGAAGUGGCAAAACUCUCCCACAAUUUCAAAGCUAUUCAAGUUGUGCUCGAGGAUGCAGAGGAGAGGCAAGUGAAGGAGCUGAACGUGAAAUACUGGCUGGAGAGGUUGAAGGAUGUAUCCUACGAGAUGGACGACGUGUUGGACGAGUGGAGUACUGAAAUCCUGAAACAACAAAUUCAGAAACAAGAAGCUGGUAAUGCUGGUAGUACAAGUACUACCAAGAAGGUAUGUUUCUGCAUUCCUGCCCCUUGGUUUUGUUUUGGCCGUCAAGUAGUUCUUCGUCAUGACAUUGCUGUAAAGAUAAAAGAACUAAAUGAAAGAUUAGCUCUGAUUGCUAGUGAAAGGCAAAACUAUAACUUUCAAUACAUGAAAAGAGGAAUUGAACAAAUUGAACGACAAAAAAGUUCUUCUUUCGUUGAUAAGACAUUUGGUCGAGUCGACGAAAAGGAUGUAUUAGUAAAAAAGUUGCUGCGUGAGAGUGGUCAAGGAGGGGCAACCUGCCUUGUCAUCCCUAUUAUAGGGAUGGGAGGAAUUGGCAAGACAACUCUUGCCCAACUUGUCUAUAACGAUGAAAAGGUUCAAGCCCAUUUCGACAAUAGAAUAUGGGUUUGUGUGUCAGAUCCUUUUGAUGAGAUCAAAAUUGCCAAAGCCAUCAUUGAUGGUCUGAAAAAAGAGAAUUCCCCAGCUUCAAAUGAGUUGCAAAUUCUCUUGCAAUUUAUACAUGAGUCUGUUAAGGGCAUGAAGUUCCUUCUUGUCCUAGAUGAUGUGUGGAACCAAGACUAUUUAAAGUGGGAACAAUUAAAGUUACUUUUACAAAAUGGGGCUGUGGGUAGUAGAAUAUUGGUGACCACACGAAAAGAGGAAGUUGCGAGGAUGGUGGUGGGAGCAUCCACUGAUAUUGUCAAUUUGGAGAUGUUGAGUGAAGAAAAUUGUUGGGCAUUGUUCUAUCAUAUUGCACUGGCUGAUAGAAAAAAAAAUGAGUCUAAAGGGUUAGAAUUUAUUGGUAAAGAAAUUGUCAAAAAGUGUAAGGGUCUGCCGCUUGCUGCAAAGGCAUUGGGUGGUCUCAUGAGCUGCAAGAAAACGAGGAAAGAAUGGGAAGACAUUUUGAAUAGUAAGAUAUGGGAGGUAGACGGGGUUGAGGAACAAGUUUUCCAACCACUGUUACUAAGUUAUUAUGAUUUGGCCCCGGCAAUCAAACGUUGUCUUUUGUAUUGUGUUAUUUUCCCAAAAGAUUAUAACAUUGUCAAAGAUGAGUUGAUUGAGUUGUGGAUGUCACAAAAUUAUCUUAAUUCAGUUGGAAACAAAGAAAAAGAAGCGGUAGGCGAAAUGUACUUUGAUAACUUAGUAAUGCGCUCUUUCUUUCAAGAAUUUGAGAAAGAUGAUCUUGGAAAUAUAACGGGGUGCAAGAUGCAUGAUGUUUUGCAUGACUUUCUACAAUUUCUAACUAAGAAUGAAUGCUUAGUUUUGGAGGCUGAGAGUGGUAACAAUAAGAGAAUAAUGGAGUUUGAUGGCUAUAAGAAGGUUCGUCAUUUGACAUUAAUGUUUGCACCCGAAGGCCCACUAAUUCCAAGUUCCUUGUGCAACUGCAAGAAUUUACAGACUCUUGCAACUUUUGAUUCAAAGAUUACUAGUUUUGGUCAAGAGUUAAUUUCACAAGUAAAAUGCCUUAGAACAUUGAAUUUGAGUCAUAACUUCUUGAAAGAAGUUCCAAAUGAGGUUGGAGAAUUGGCACAUUUGAGGUAUCUUGAUUUGUCUUAUAAUCAUGAUUUGAUGAAAUUGCCAGACACCAUGUGUAAUUUAAUCAAUUUGUAAACCUUGAGACUCUUUUGGUGCAUUAAUCUUGAAAGAUUACCUGAAGCCAUGGGAAAGCUGAUUAACUUGCAGCAUCUUCAUGUUUUGUGGUGUCGUAGUCUAAAAUUUCUCAAGGGGAUUGCAAGGUUAACAAGUCUACGAACGCUAGAUGAAGUACACAUCCAUGGCGAUGAUGACGUUGAUAACAACAAAGAAGCAUUAUUCGAGUUAAGUGAUUUGAGAAACAUGGACCAGCUUCGUGGGAGUUUUUAUAUUUUGUUUGGUACGAAUCUAAAGGACGUGAGGCAGGCUGUGAAAGCGCAUUUGGUGAACAAAAAUUGCCUUGUCAAUCUGGAAUUGAGUUUCUUCUUGGACACGUGGCAGCCCGAGCCCAUCCAGGAAGAAACAAUGAAUGCCUUACAACCACCUCCAAAUCUGGAAUCCUUAUCUAUCAACAUCUAUCGUGGCACCAGACUCCGGCCCCAUUGGAUGACGUCGUUAAACAAAUUGAGAAGCCUUACCCUUCAAUAUUGCAUGGUUGUUGAGUUUGUGCCUCCUUUGGGGAGAUUGGAGUCCCUUGAAGUACUGGUGAUAGUCAAGUGGGAUAGAUUGAAAAAGGUAGGAGUUGAGUUUUUGGGAAUAGAUGGAACAAUAGAAACGCAAACAUCCUUAUCACCACUUAUUUUAUUCCCAAGUUUGAAAAGACUUGAAUUCGAGUUUAUGUGCAUGUGGGAAGAGUGGGAAGGAAUGACAGGGUGGAGUGAAGAAGAGGAUUCUCAAAAGACAAUUACAAUAAUGCCCUGCCUUUCUUCCUUACGAAUUAUUGAUUGUCAUGUGCUUAAAACACUGCCCAACUUCUUACGAAAUACACCAUUGAAGGAGUUGGUCAUCGAAGGUGGCGUCAUGUUCGACUUUCUAGCACCAGUUGCACAAGGUUGCCGAAAAGGCAGAGGAGAGUGGCCCAAGAUUUCUCACAUCCCAAACAUCAAACUUGGUAAAGAAUUUGUACAAAAAGACGGAGUUUACCAAAUUGAUGAUGAUGAGAUGCCAAGUGUUGCUUCCACAUCUUCUUCUGGUAAAAAAAUUCUCUAAAAUUGUCUCAGGCUAUAAAUUCUCUAUGUGCCGACGACCCCCAUUUCCAAAUUCCAGCAGCUGAAGGUAUUUUCUGGCAUGCAAAGAGGGAAGUCUCAUUUGAAUUCACACUUUGAAGAUAAUCUUGUCAGAAGCGCGUACGUUGUAUGGUAGGGAAAAUAAUUAUAACAUCCGAUAUGUAUGUAUAACCAAUAAUUCAAUCUUCAACUCUGUUGAGAUGUUGUUAUAUGUCACUCUGAUAUGAAAAUAUCAGAUAAUAUGUACAGUAUACCCAAUAAUUCAAUCUUCAACUCUGUUGAAAUGUUGUUAUAUAUCACUCUGAUAUGAAAAUAUCAGAUAAUAUGUACAGUAUACCCAAUAAUUCAAUAAU